CCUACGGGAGGCAGCAGUGGGGAAUAUUGCACAAUGGGGGAAACCCUGAUGCAGCGACGCCGCGUGAGUGAAGAAGUAUUUCGGUAUGUAAAGCUCUAUCAGCAGGGAAGAAAAAGACGGUACCUGAUUAAGGAACCCCGGCCAAAUACGGGCCAGCAGCCGCGGGAAUACGGAGGGGGGAAGCGUUAUCCGGAUUUACUGGGGGUAAAGGGGGCGUAGACGGCAUGACAAGGUUUGAGUGAAAUGCCGGGGCUUAACCCCGGAACUGCUUUGGAAACUGUGCAGCUAGAGUGCAGGAGAGGUAAGCGGAAUUCCUAGUGUAGCGGUGAAAUGCGUAGAUAUUAGGAGGAACACCAGUGGCGAAGGCGGCUUACUGGACUGUAACUGACGUUGAGGCUCGAAAGCGUGGGGAGCAAACAGGAUUAGAUACCCGAGUAGUC
rnacentral:rRNA from 1 species